rnacentral:rRNA from 1 species
GACGAACGCUGGCGGCGUGCUUAACACAUGCAAGUCGAGCGGAAAACCUCGGUUUUCAGCGGCGGACGGGUGAGUAACACGUGGGCAACCUGCCUCACAAUGAGGGAUAGCCUUCCGAAAGGAAGAUUAAUACCUCAUAACACAAGAGAAACGCAUGUUUCUCUUGCCAAAGAAUUUCGUUGUGAGAUGGGCCCGCGGCGCAUUAGCUUGUUGGUGAGGUAACGGCUCACCAAGGCUUCGAUGCGUAGCCGACCUGCGAGGGUGAUCGGCCACAUUGGAACUGAGACACGGUCCAGACUCCUACGGGAGGCAGCAGUGGUGAAUAUUGCACAAUGGAGGAAACUCUGAUGCAGCAACGCCGCGUGAGUGAUGAAGGUCUUCGGAUUGGAAAACUCUGUCUUCUGGGACGAUAAUGACGGUACCAGAGGAGGAAGCCACGGCUAACUACGUGCCAGCCGCCGCUGUAA